ACAACCAGUUGUGAAAACAGGUACUCUGGACCAACCAACAAUAUUUGCAGACUUGCAACCUCGAGAGUCCAAAUAUAAGAAUUAGGAACAACAAUAAUUUCUAAACAACUCCAGAGGAUAGAUCAACAUUUUCUAAUAGUGUCUAUAGUAAUUAUUUAAAUUAAUUAUGUUAUUACUGAUUGGAACUUCGAAUUGCCUUUGAUGAUAUUUUCUUCCAAAUGAUAGAAGAUCAAUAGUAAAUAAAAGUUGUAGAUAAAAACAGAAGUUUACCACAUAACUCUUUUCCGUUGAAA
rnacentral:misc_RNA from 1 species